rnacentral:lncRNA from 1 species
UCCCGUAAUUCUUGAUAGUGAUCACCCUUGUUUUCAAUUCACCGAUAGUGAAUUUCUACAUGAUGUUGCGGUAGGUGAUAGAUUAGAUGAUGAAAUUAUGGAUGUUCUUUAUCCUAAUGAACCUAUCUUAGAGGAAAAUGAGGAUGAUGAUGAUGAUGAUGAAANNNCCUGUUCAUAACUCAAGUAAUGCACCGGCACACCCACCUGUAGAAACUCCAACUUUUAGUAGACAACCUGCUAAACAUACAGAAACAUCAUUUUUUGUUCACGUUUUUCAAUGCCUUUGAAAGAUUAUACACCUAACUGUACAUUUUGGUUAUGGAGAAUUUUGAAAAACCUCCUAUUGUCUUACUUUCUAUCGUAAAUGUUGCUUCAUUUCACUUUCAAUUUCACUUCUUCGUUUUUAAGAUAUUCAUUGAUAAAUUUUAGGAAGAAAGCUAACAUGUCAGAGUCUAAUAUAUUGCUUAUUCCGAUCUAUUUAAUUAUAUGGGGGUUAGACAAAAUGAUGUUUACUUCAGGAUAAAAUCACAUAGUCAAAGUGACUGUAGAAUGGUUUUAAAAGGGCAGGUGCACACAGCUAUGUGCAGGUUCGGGGAAGGGCGGACCACCAGAGACUAUUGUACGCAGUCUUACCCUGCAUUUCUUCAAGAGGAUAUUUUCACUGUUCGAACCCCUGACCUCCAGGUCACAUGGCAGUCACUAUAGUUCGUCUUCUUAAUGUAAUUUUUUUAGUUGGUCAAUCAUUAACAAAUUAGUGAAAAAUGAGAUAAUAGCAAGUGAAACCAACAUAAAUAUUUUGAAAAGAAGGAAUGGAAUCAAAAGUUAAUAUUCAGUCUUACAAUGAAGCAAGCGCGAAAAGGGUACAACUAGUCGGGUUUGCAAAGCGAUAACUAGAAAUGACGGUUAAAAAAAAACAAGCGCGAAAAGAGUAGUCUGUAAGUUUUUCUUACAUGUGUGUGUAAUCUUCUUUUGCUUUUCUUUCUAUCACCAAUCUUAUGAAGUAAAAAAAAUUACCCAUAAAGGGUAUUCAAUAUAUAUUAUAUAUCACGAAAAUCUAAUAUAUUAUAUAUAUACAGUGUAAUUUUUCGACGAAGGGUCAGUUGACCACCCUUAGAGCUAUGUAGUUUCGGCACUGAAGUCGAGGGUCAAAAGGCAAUUGAAAAAAGUCACAAGAACGAUCCGAUCAACAAAAUAAGUUACAAAGAUCUUAAGGUCUAACUAAAUGCAUGACCAAAAUUUUAGGAUAUAACGUGUCAAGUGAAAUUAGAAAAAAUUACUGAAACAUACCUGAUAAAUACCAAAGUUUGCAGUAGGAGAAAACUUGUAAUUAAUGACAAUUGAAGGUUAAUAUCAGCAUAAAGGGCCUUCUCACAUUAGCAUACUCUAACAAGAUUAGUGAAUGAAUAAUUAUGGUUCAAUCAAACUAACAUUCAAAUAUUUAGCAGUAUUCAGUCGACAAAUAUAUUAAACUUGAUCAUGCAGAGGCUGAGACAUUAAUAGUUUUAGAUUAGGAAGGGGUCAAGCCACUAAAGCAAGGGCUUUUUGAGGGUCCCAAAUAUUUCUUUUUGUUUUUCACACAUAUUUGUAUUGAGAUUCCGAUUAAUCUAGAUCCGUACCGCGUAAGACCUUGUAAAAGAAAGAACACAUUUUGACAGGAUUUGUUUAACCACAAGACUCGAAUAUCUAAUUAAGGUAAGUUGGAUCAAUUUGCAUUACUGCAGCACGUCUCCGUACUUUUUUUGUUUAUAACUAUGAGUCUAUGACAUGUAGCCUCUCUUGGAUGGAAAUAAAAGAACAUAUCAUCAGUGAAGGUGAUGAAGUAAAAAUAUCCACCCCUAGCUUGAAUUUUCAUGGCCCACAAACAUCUGUAUGAAUUAGUCCCAAUAAUUCAGAAGCUCUUUCUCCACUUCCAUUANNNN